rfam:Dipodomys ordii contig_59073, whole genome shotgun sequence.
GUGGCUCAGUGGUAGAGUGCUUGCCUUGCGUGCAAGAGGCCCUGCGUUCGAUUUCUUAGC